UUCAAUACUACCGUCAAACGUAGUGUGCACUUUUCUCUUAGUAAGACGCCGUGAUCCAUUAGAAAUUGAUGCGCGCCAAGCGCAUAUUGGGUCAUCGAUAGGCCGGCGUGAAGUUUAUUCGGAACAAAUGGCGCGAUCCUUUACGGUUGCGUGUAUUGUCUGGUAAGCGCGCCGAUACCUGUAAUGACUGUCUGAUGGGUUUUAAGGACGCUAUUAUUGAUGCUUCGGCAUCGCUCGCUAUCACAGCGAGAUGGAUAGCUGUCUGAUCGACGGCGGUUAAAUUUGGGAUACCUUUUGGACCCGUCUUGAAACACGGACCAAGGAGUCUAUCUAGUAUGCGAGUAAAUGGAUAGUUUAUGAAAUCUAUUUGCAGAACAAACAUGACUGUUUUUCAUGGGAUUACGACUGGCAAUCAGCAAUGGUUGCCUCUCCUCCAUCCCGGGGUAUUUUUGUCAACAUAUGCUUGCAUAUGGAAAAUAUACCAUGAGCACACUGGAUACGACCCGAAAGAUGGUGAACUAUGCCUGAUCAGGUUGAAGUCAGGGGAAACCCUGAUGGAGGACCGAAGCAGUUCUGACGUGCAAAUCG
rnacentral:rRNA from 1 species